rnacentral:rRNA from 1 species
AUUGAACGCUGGCGGCAGGCUUAACACAUGCAAGUCGAGCGGAGAUGAGGUGCUUGCACCUUAUCUUAGCGGCGGACGGGUGAGUAAUGCUUAGGAAUCUGCCUAUUAGUGGGGGACAACAUUCCGAAAGGAAUGCUAAUACCGCAUACGUCCUACGGGAGAAAGCAGGGGAUCUUCGGACCUUGCGCUAAUAGAUGAGCCUAAGUCGGAUUAGCUAGUUGGGGGGGUAAAGGCCUACCAAGGCGACGAUCUGUAGCGGGUCUGAGAGGAUGGUCCGCCAGACUGGGACUGAGAGACGGCCCAGACUGCUACGGGAGGCAGCAGUGGGGAAGAUUGGACAAUGGGGGGAACCCUGAUCCAGCCAUGCCGCGUGUGUGAAGAAGGCCUUAUGGUUGUAAAGCACUUUAAGCGAGGAGGAGGCUACUGAGACUAAUACUCUUGGAUAGUGGACGUUACUCGCAGAAUAAGCACCGGCUAACUCUGUGCCAGCCGCCGCGGUAACAC